GGAUGCCAUCAUACCAGCACUAUCAGCACUCCGAAGUCAAGCUCCGAAGUUAAGCGUGCUUGGGCGAGAGUAGUACUAGGAUGGGUGACCCCCUGGGAAGUCCUCGUGUUGCAUCCC
rnacentral:rRNA from 1 species